AGAGAGAGACAUGCGUGCAUAUCAAUAAGCGGAGGAAAAGAAACUAACAAGGAUUCCCCUAGUAACGGCGAGUGAAGCGGGAAGAGCUCAAAUUUGAAAUCUUAAAGGGUUUCCCUUUACGGAUUGUAGUUUAAAGAAGUGUUUUCUGUUGAGGUUUUGGUAAAAGUUCUUUGGAAUAGGACAUCAUAGAGGGUGAGAAUCCCGUAUUUGACCUUUACUUUCAACUUUGUGAUACACUUUCAAAGAGUCGGAUUGUUUGGGAAUGCAGUCCAAAAUGGGUGGUAAAUUUCAUCUAAAGCUAAAUAUUGGCGAGAGACCGAUAGCGAACAAGUACCGUGAGGGAAAGAUGAAAAGAACUUUGAAAAGAGAGUUAAACAGUACGUGAAAUUGUCAAAAGGGAAGCGUUUGACACCAGUGUUGUUUUUCUGAAAAUCAAUUAAAGAACUGUUUAUGCUAAGUUGUUUAGACUUUAUCAACUAUCUGUUUAGUUUUGAGCUUUUCUUUAAUGCACUUUUCAGUUAACAAGUCAACAUCAAUUUCUUUUGCUGUAAAAAAGCUUGAGGAAGGUGGCUUGAGAUUCGUCUUAAGUGUUUAUAGCCUCUUGCCUAUGCAGUCGGAGAGAUUGAGGUCUGCAGCGUAGAUCCUUCGGGGCUAAAUGCAUUUGUGCUAAGUUAUAGCAUUUUAUAGACAACUUGUUGACUAUGAUUUGUCUUGUAGCUUACUCGCUUAUGUUAUUUUACCUACGCUUAGGAUGUUGACGCAUGAGAUAUACGC
rnacentral:rRNA from 1 species